rnacentral:rRNA from 1 species
GCAGUCCUGUCUCAGAUUAAGCCUGCAUGUCUAAGUAUAAACUGCUUUAUACUGUGAAACUGCGAAUGGCUCAUUAGAUCAGUUAUAGUUUAUUUGAUGGUACCUACUUCUCGGAUACCCGGAUUAAGUCUAGAGCUAAUACGUGCGUAAAUCCCGACUUCUGGAAGGGACGUAUUUAUUAGAUAUAAGGCCGACCGGGCUCUGCCCGACUCGCGGUGAAUCAUGAUAACUUCACGAAGCCCAUGGCCUUGGGGCGGCGAUGUUUCAUUCAAAUUUCUGCCCUAUCAACUUUCGAUGGUAGGAUAUAUGCCUACCAUGGUGUGAACGGGUGACGGAGGAUAAGGAUUCGAUUCCGGAGAGGGAGCCUGAGAAACGGCUACCACAUCCAAGGAAGGCAUGAGGCGCGCCAAUUACCCAAUCCUGACACAGGGAGGUAGUGACAAUAAAUAACAAUACUGUGCCUUUUCAGGUCUGGAAUUGGUAAAUGAGACAUGAAUUUGGCUUUGUUGAUACAUGACCGGGUUUGCCCCCGACGGCGAUCUGGAUGUUGAAAUGGAGAAUGAGAAUUGGAAUGAGAUUGCCGUGCAAAUUUUAUUUGGAA